GCGGCUGGAGCUGUGGGCGCAUCUACACAGUGGAGAGACCUGCUUGGCGAAUGCAGUCUGGCGAAGGCAGUCCAGCGAAGGCUGGCUGGCGCAGGCCGACUAAGCGAAGGCUGGCUGGCGCUGUCUGCUGUGCUAGGGUGUUGCGAGGCUGUGUGGACUUGGUUGGGCGGUGGGCGUGCCUGCACCGCCUGUGCUAGGUUGCGGGCGCUGUGGCUUGUGUUGUCUGGUGGGUCGGACCGGCUGAUCCUCGUGGUUCAGCGAACUUGCACGGCCCUGGGCCGUCUACAGGAUGCAGCUUCGGGCUGCACCCAACAGUGUGAGGGCCCUGCCCUGUUGGUGCUGGUGUUUUGGGGUAGGAGUUGCACUUUGCAAAGUGGCAGUCAGUCUGACGCCGACCCGCGGCUUAGGUGAGCAGCGCUAGCGUUUGCGGUGAGCCUUGCUCGGGGUUCCUCCCCUCCUUUAGUGAGGCGAGGAGCAUGGGGGUCAUUCGAGGUUCCCUCCUCGAGUGUGCGUACGUGUCUCGUGCGUUUAUGGAGCCCUGGCUUGCCCGUGGCUGUCAUCCCACAUGUAACCUCUAUUCGCUAACCCAGCGCUAGCGUUUGCGGUGAGCCGGGCCUGGGGUUCCUCCCCUCUCCGGAGGCGAGGAGCAUGGGGGUCAUUCGGGGGUCUCUCCUCGGGUGAGCGUGCGUGUCUCGUACGUUUUUGGGGCCCUGGCUAGUCCACGGCUGUCGUCCCACAUGUAACCUCUAUCAGCUAACCACCCUGGCUAGUCCACGGCUGUCGUCCCACAUGUAACCUCUAUCAGCUAGCUCGUUCUACUCCGCUUGGUUGCGUUAGGGCGCCUCGGCGCCCUGACCCUCCUUGUCGGUAGUAGUUCCUGGCCGGCCUUUGUGGCCGCGCCCAUCCCCUGUGGCGCCUCCAUGGCGUCCCUGGCGUUGCUUAGGUCAGCUGUAGUGCGUCAGUGCUGCUCUGGCUGCGGCGCGCCACUCAGUCGGCGACAUCAUCGUCGCCGUCCUGCCGAGCGGCCCCCGCUCUGGCACUCUUUGCCGAACAUCAUGACUUCACACCGUGGAGCCUUCGCGACCUAGCGUGGGUGGCGCGCCUGCUCGCCGGUCGACCUCGUCCUCAUGGCUUCGCGAUGCUUCUGGCGGGGCGCUCGCUGCUGCCGGGCUCGCAGUGGCGUGUCGCUGAGCGGCUCUUUCGGUAACGGAGGGCCGAUUGGAGCUGCUGGCGACUCUUGCUGUGGGCUGCUGCCGCGGCCUGACGUGGCGCCGGGCUCGCCGCGCGUGAACAGGGGCACGCUGCGGCGGGAGCCAGGACCGGCGUCUUCCGGGCGGCGGCGGCUGGAGCUGUGGGCGCAUCUACACAGUGGAGAGACCUGCUUGGCGAAUGCAGUCUGGCGAAGGCAGUCCAGCGAAGGCUGGCUGGCGCAGGCCGACUAAGCGAAGGCUGGCUGGCGCUGUCUGCUGUGCUAGGGUGUUGCGAGGCUGUGUGGACUUGGUUGGGCGGUGGGCGUGCCUGCACCGCCUACGCUAGGUUGCGGGCGCUGUGGCUUGUGCUGUCUGGUGGGUCGGACCGGCUGAUCCUCGUGGUUCAGCGAACUUGCACGGCCCUAGGCCGUCUACAGGAUGCAGCUUCGGGCUGCACCCAACAGUGUGAGGGCCCUGCCCUGUUGGUGCUGGUGUUUUGGGGUAGGAGUUGCACUUUGCAAAGUGGCAGUCAGUCUGACGCCGACCCGCGGCUUAGGUGAGCAGCGCUAGCGUUUGCGGUGAGCCUUGCUCGGGGUUCCUCCCCUCCUUUAGUGAGGCGAGGAGCAUGGGGGUCAUUCGAGGUUCCCUCCUCGAGUGUGCGUACGUGUCUCGUGCGUUUAUGGAGCCCUGGCUUGCCCGUGGCUGUCAUCCCACAUGUAACCUCUAUUCGCU
rnacentral:lncRNA from 1 species